AAAAAAUUAAUAUGAAUUAUUUGCAAAUAGUGGCAAAUUUUUAAUAAUUGUGCUAUUCACAUCAAUAUGUUAUAUAUUCUUAAUAGAAGUACCCGGAGGGUGAUCAGAAUGAUCAUCAGUACACCCAAAGAAAAACCUCAAUCAAUUUUGAUAGAGAAAUUUUAUCAAGGGUUUAUGAUAAUGUUUUAUUAAUACGAACAAAAUAACUAUUCUUAUGAAUAAUUAUUGUUCAAGACAAGAAAAAAAAUUAUCAUAUUGAUAAAUAUAUCAUAGGUUCAAUAGUAAUGAUAUAUUUAUUAAAUUGAACAAUGAAUUUAUUAUAUAGAUCGAGGUUUUUCUCUGGGUGUAGUAUUACUGUGUAUGAUGUUUGCAUGUCAUAUUAUACUUAAAAAUUACAAUUUUUCUUAAAUUUAAUUAUUUAAAUAAAAAUUGAACGUAUGUUGUACUGAUGUAAUUUUCCAAUAUAUUAAACUAUCGAAUAACUAUUCGAAUUGUUUACAUACAACCAAACCAAAUAGUAUAUUUUAGUAUAGACUAUAAAUAUUUAAAAAUCUAUCGAAUAGUUUCUUAAACUAUUUGAAUAUAUUGGGUAACUAUCGAAUAUUUUUAAUCUUCGAAAAGCUUUUGAAUGAAUAUCGAAUAGUUCGAUAGUUACUAUUCAAUAUUUCCCAUCAUUAAUAGUAGAAACAUGGAUGUAAAUUUAGCGGGAUAAGAUCAAGGGAGAAUAUUCUAAAAAAUGUGACUCUUGAAAAGUUUUUGUCGCUCAACGCGUUUUAAGAAAAUUGACCAAAAAUACUCAAAAAAACAUAAAAUGUCAU